CAAUGGAGUUGCGAUUGUUGUCCAGACUGCUUCCUUUAGGAUAUUCUUCAUCUUUAAUGCCAUAGCUCUGUUCACAUCAUUGGCGGUGGUCGUGGUUCAAAUAACAGUUGUCAGGGGAGAAACCAAGUCUGAGCGAAAGGUUGUUGAGGUGAUCAACAAGCUUAUGUGGCUGGCAUCAGUUUGCACAACCAUUUCUUUCAUUGCCUCAUGCUAUAUUGUGCUAGGCCGCCAUUUCCAAUGGGCAGCAAUACUGGUUAGUUUGAUAGGUGGUGUUACAAUGACUGGUGUUCUUGGAACAAUGACGUACUUUGUGGUGAAAUCAAAGCGCAUGAGGAAGAUUAGAAAAAAAGAGAAGAUGUCAAGAAGAAGCGGCUCAAGCUCCUGGGUUGAUAAUAC
rnacentral:rRNA from 1 species